CCAGACUCCUACGGGAGGCAGCAGUGAGGAAUAUUGGUCAAUGGCCGAGAGGCUGAACCAGCCAAGUCGCGUGAGGGAUGACGGCCCUACGGGUUGUAAACCUCUUUUGCCGGGGAGCAAAGAGCGGGACGCGUCCCGCCUCGAGAGUACCCGGAGAAAAAGCAUCGGCUAACUCCGUGCCAGCAGCCGCGGUAAUACGGAGGAUGCGAGCGUUAUCCGGAUUUAUUGGGUUUAAAGGGUGCGCAGGCGGAGGCGAAGAUAGGGGGUAAAUUGGGGGGGCCAAACCUCCGCCCGCCGUUGAAACUGCGUUUCUUGAGUGGGCGAGAAGUACGCGGAAUGCGUGGUGUAGCGGUGAAAUGCAUAGAUAUCACGCAGAACUCCGAUUGCGAAGGCAGCGUACCGGCGCCCAACUGACGCUCAUGCACGAAAGCGUGGGUAUCGAACAGGAUUAGAUACCCUAGUA
rnacentral:rRNA from 1 species